rnacentral:tRNA from 1 species
CGUGCCGGUAGCUCAGCUUGGUAGAGCAGUUCCUUCAUCAGGAACAUGUCGUUGGUUCAAAUCCAGCCCGGCCAACCA